rnacentral:rRNA from 1 species
UACGUAGGGGGCUAGCGUUGUCCGGAAUCAUUGGGCGUAAAGCGCGUGUAGGCGGUCCGGUAAGUCCGCUGUGAAAGUCGGGGGCUCAACCCUCGGAUGCCGGUGGAUACUGUCGGGCUUGAGUACGGAAGAGGCGAGUGGAAUUCCUGGUGUAGCGGUGAAAUGCGCAGAUAUCAGGAGGAACACCAAUUGCGAAGGCGCACACCUGGCCCGAUACUGACGCUGAGGCGCGAAAGCUAGGGGAGCGAACAGG